CCCCCUCUGAGGAGGUGAGACAUCGCCUCAGCACUGCACUGCCCUGAGAGACACACAGGAAACACAUUUUCCCGCCUUGUUUGGUUUGUUUUGUACAGGCGACAAAAAGAUGAGACCAUCAUUGACGGUCGAGUGUGCAGCUUUCUGCCUGUGGAUGGCGCUGGUGAGCAUCUGUCUGAUGUUUUCUCUCAGCAGCUGUGACUGGUUGACUGUCAGAGUGGACUCCUCUAAAACCUGUUGGCAUUCUGCACAGGGACAAAUCAGGGACGUAAGGAAUCAUUUGUUUCAAUAAAGCGACUUUCAGAGCAGAUAUUCAGAUCAAAACAAAUGCUCCCUCCUGUCUUCCACACUUCCCCCGCCCCUCCCGUCCUUUUUCACUAGCAGCAGGCGAGUGCCAAUAAACAUCUGAAAA